UUUAUUCCUCAGUUUCGCGAAAGCAAAACUCACACACUUAGUGAAAUUUUUGUCCCUCCAAAACUCACACUUAGCCUUCAUCUCAACCCCUUUCAGAAACCCUGUCACCAUCGAAGAAACCCUUCAAACCUCACCAUCGCGAAGAAACCCUCUCGCUACAGAAACCCUCUCACUCACCACUCACCGUCGCUCCUCUUCACCCUCCUCCUUGUCGCUGCGCCGCCCUCACCAUCCUCAUCUCUGCGCUUCUCAUCGUCCUUCCCCUUUCAAUUCGAUCGAGUAACCCUCAUCUCUGCGCUAUAUACUGAGCUUAAUGAAUAUUUUUUCUUUGAUUCGUCACCAAUUCACGAUACCUGCACAAACUCGCGCGCCAUCUCCUUCGAUUCGUCGCCGCUGCUCAUCUCUUCUUCAAGGGUUUUCACCUUCGAUUUGUCGUCGCUCAUCUCUUCUUCAUCGUUGCCAUUCAUCACCGCGCUCACCAAGUAAGCAUUCUGUGCCUCGUUCUUUUCUUCUCACUCAUUCUCUUACUCGCUCUCUCUCACUCGCCCUCUCUGUGCAGUGUCAAAAAAACUGUGUGCUCUCUAGCGACCUCUUCUCUACUCUACUGUGAAGCAUCAAGGUUUCUAAUGAGGCAAAGCAUCGAUCCCUUACAAGCGAGUACUCUGCUUCAAUUUCUGUCGUGCUGUCUGACUCAACUAGCGCAAGCUGAAUGGAUCUUGUGUUUGUCGGUCUUCUUCCUUCUCUGUUUUCUUUUUUU